rnacentral:rRNA from 1 species
AGAGUUUGAUCAUGGCUCAGGACGAACGCUGGCGGCGUGCCUAACACAUGCAAGUCGAGCGGGAACCUCAGGAGGGGUAACCCUUCUGAGGGGAGAGCGGCGAACGGGUGAGUAACACGUGGGCAACCUGCCCCGGACACCGGGAUAACCCAGGGAAACCUGAGCUAAUACCGGAUACUCCGGCGUGAUCGCAUGGUCGCGCCGGGAAAGCUCCGACGGUCCGGGAUGGGCCCGCGGCCUAUCAGCUUGUUGGUGGGGUAACGGCCCACCAAGGCGACGACGGGUAGCUGGUCUGAGAGGACGGCCAGCCACACUGGGACUGAGGCACGGCCCAGACUCCUACGGGAGGCAGCAGUGGGGGAUCUUGCGCUAAUGCGCGAAAGCGUGACGCAGCGACGCCGCGUGGGGGAUGAAGGCCCUCGGGUUGUAAACCCCUUUCGGCAGGGACGAAGGGAAACUGACGGUACCUGCAGAAGAAGUCCCGGCUAACUACGUGCCAGCCGCCGCGGUAAUAC